rnacentral:rRNA from 1 species
UACGUAGGGGGCAAGCGUUGUCCGGAUUUAUUGGGCGUAAAGAGCGUGUAGGCGGCCGUACAGGUCAGCUGUGAAAACUCGAGGCUCAACCUCGAGACGUCGGUUGAAACCGUACGGCUAGAGUCCGGAAGAGGAGAGUGGAAUUCCCGGUGUAGCGGUGAAAUGCGCAGAUAUCAGGAAGAACACCCGUGGCGAAGGCGGCUUUCUGGGGACGGUACUGACGCUGAGACGCGAAAAGCGUGGGGGAGCGAACAGG